UAGGGAAUCUUCCGCAAUGGACGCAAGUCUGACGGAGCAACGCCGCGUGAGUGAAGAAGGAUUUCGGUUCGUAAAACUCUGUUGUUAGAGAAGAACAGCGCAUAGAGUAACUGUUAUGCGUGUGACGGUAUCUAACCAGAAAGCCACGGCUAACUACGUGCCAGCAGCCGCGGUAAUACGUAGGUGGCAAGCGUUGUCCGGAUUUAUUGGGCGUAAAGCGAGCGCAGGCGGUCAGUUAAGUCUGAUGUGAAAGCCCCCGGCUCAACCGGGGAGGGUCAUUGGAAACUGGUUGAAUUGAGUGCAGAAGAGGAGAGUGGAAUUCCAUGUGUAGCGGUGAAAUGCGUAGAUAUAUGGAGGAACACCAGUGGCGAAGGCGACUCUCUGGUCUGUAACUGACGCUGAGGCUCGAAAGCGUGGGUAGCAAACAGG
rnacentral:rRNA from 1 species